rnacentral:misc_RNA from 1 species
AAGUCGUAACAAGGUUUCCGUAGGUGAACCUGCGGAAGGAUCAUUAAUGAAAUGAAAGUUUUUUGGGGGUUUCCCUGAAAAAUAAUUCACCAUUUGUGCAUUGUUAUUAGAUAUACUUUGGUUAGAGCUUUGGUUCCAAAAACAUUUGGAAUCAACUUCUUGCUAACUCUAUCCCUUCUGAGGACAGUUCGCUAUGAAGCGGCCUACCAAGGUUUUUUAUCAAACUCUUGUAUUUUGUCUGACCUAAAAUAUCAAUAAUUAAAUCAUAACUUUCAACAACGGAUCUCUUGGCUCUC